GGACGAACGCUGGCGGCGCGCUUAACACAUGCAAGUCGAACGAGCGAGAGGAGGUUUCCUUUCUCAAGCGAGUGGCGAACGGGUGAGUAACGCGUGAGGAACCUGCCUCAAAGAGGGGGACAACAGUUGGAAACGACUGCUAAUACCGCAUAAGCCCACGACCCGGCAUCGGGUAGAGGGAAAAGGAGCAAUCCGCUUUGAGAUGGCCUCGCGUCCGAUUAGCUAGUUGGUGAGGUAAUGGCCCACCAAGGCGACGAUCGGUAGCCGGACUGAGAGGUUGAACGGCCACAUUGGGACUGAGACACGGCCCAGACUCCUACGGGAGGCAGCAGUGGGGAAUAUUGCACAAUGGGGGAAACCCUGAUGCAGCGACGCCGCGUGGAGGAAGAAGGUCUUCGGAUUGUAAACUCCUGUUGUUGAGGAAGAUAAUGACGGUACUCAACAAGGAAGUGACGGCUAACUACGUG
rnacentral:rRNA from 1 species